rnacentral:tRNA from 1 species
ACCUGGGUGGCUCAGUCGGUUGAGCGUCUGACUUCGGCUCAGGUCAUGAUCUCACGGUUUGUGAGUUCGAGCCCCGCCUCGGGCU